rnacentral:rRNA from 1 species
UACGGGGGGGGCAAGCGUUGUUCGGAAUUACUGGGCGUAAAGGGCCAGUAGGCGGCCAACUAAGUCCGACGUGAAAUCCCCAGGCUUAACCUGGGAACUGCGUCGGAUACUGGAUGGCUUGAAUUCGGGAGAGGGAUGCAGAAUUCCAGGUGUAGCGGUGAAAUGCGUAGAUAUCUGGAGGAAUACCGGUGGCGAAGGCGAGUCUCUGGACAGUUACUGACACUGAGGCACGAAGGCCAGGAGAGCAAACGGG